UGCGUAACGCGUGGGAAUCUGCCCUUGGGUUCGGAAUAACAGUUAGAAAUGACUGCUAAUACCGGAUGAUGUCUUCGGACCAAAGAUUUAUCGCCCAAGGAUGAGCCCGCGUAGGAUUAGGUAGUUGGUGGGGUAAUGGCCCACCAAGCCGACGAUCCUUAGCUGGUCUGAGAGGAUGAUCAGCCACACUGGGACUGAGACACGGCCCAGACUCCUACGGGAGGCAGCAGUGGGGAAUAUUGGACAAUGGCGCAAGCCUGAUCCAGCA
rnacentral:rRNA from 1 species